rnacentral:lncRNA from 1 species
CAAGUCACAAACAAUGAAAGAUAUGAAAGAAAUGCAUUACCAAUAAGCAUUGAUUUCAAUUACCAAUCAAGCAGAUCAUAUAUCAGUUCUUUUAACACAAGGCCAAGGAGUAGUCUCAUUGAAACUCAGGUAGCAUUGAUUUCAAUCACCAAUCAAGCAGAUCAUAUAUCAGUUCUUUUAACACAAGGCCAAGGAGUAGUCUCAUUGAAACUCAGGUCACAUGUGAUACCUAUAUUAUUGCUUUAUAAAGUUCUUGCACCUAGAAUCAUAGUGAGUAAAGGCGUUAUAAGGGAAUGAGGUAGACCCGAAAUCACAUGGAAGGAAGUUGUCUCAAAAGACCAACAAUUUCAUUAAA